GCGAACUUACAUCGUAAGACCAUCACCUCUGAUUCGGAUUGUCCGCGGUGCGCCCUCACUCAUGAGAACGCAACGCAUGUCGCCAUCCUUUGCCUACGCGCGGCACAGGUUUGGUCCCUCAUAGGGCUGCAACCCCCCCACUCCAUCGACCUUCUUUGGGAUACUACUACGCCGGUCGGCCUCGACAUCAACAUUUGGCCUACCGUAGCCCUCGCCAUCCUCUGGAAGCUGCGGGACUCCAGGAACGCUCGUGUCUUCCGCAACGAGCUACACACACCCCUAGAUACUCUUCGGAACAUUAUUUCGGAUUUUACGCUUUGGGCCUUCAGAUUUAAGGACCCCGUCAGUAGGGAGGCUGCCGUGUCUUGGCGCCUAUACCUCUCCUCUCGUUGUAACCCUUGA
rnacentral:rRNA from 1 species